UAAAGACACCACGGAGCUCAGACAUCACAGCUUCACGGCCGUGAAGGCAACUUACACUGUAAGCAAUGCAGCCUCGGUUAUGAUAACCGUGUUAAAACAGAGGAACACGUAAGACAUAGCAUGAAGAGGGAGGACUUCUUCUCAAGCUGGGAGGAAGUUAAAACUGGACAUGAACACAACAGGACAAGAUUUAGCUGCAUAGGCUGGUUGCAGGAUUUAAAGGCAGCAGCAAACAUCACUGGAUAGAGCAAAAUCAAGCAAGAGAGAAGACGAGGAUGUUGUCAGCAGGCCAUCAAGCAGACUGAAUGUGGAGAGACUUUGUAAAGGUGAACAAGGUUCAGCUUCUACAGAUGUAAUUGACCAUGUUGAUGCAUUUAAUACAGGCCUUAUUUAAAGCUUUUAUGACAUGCUAAACUAUUUUCACAUACCCUCUAUGCUAUUUUAAAGGCUGUGUCUGCCACAUUUAGAAGUGCGAGUUCAAACACUUCCAGACACAAAGACACAGCCGUGGUCUUGUCUGAACAAGUCAUCCAUUAGAAGCCAAUGUUUUGACACCAAUCCCUCAAAAGAAAAGGAUCUAUAAAGACGAACGACUGCCCUUCUGAGGACAUCCAUCAACACCUUUUAACACCUGUCUGUGCACGUUGAGCUGAGAGAGAAACACAGGUGGUGUAAGAUUUAAAUGUUCAUACAGGACUGCCUUUAAGUGCCUUAUCAUUAUUUUUUAUUCCAUAAUCUGUUGAAAAUGCCCUUCAUAGUGAAGCAGCCCAUCUAAAAGCAGCUGUUAGCAGGCAUAUCAUUUUCCUUGUUGUCUUGGGGCUUGACUGUUCCCUAAAUAACAAAUUAUUAAUCUUCAAAAAGGCAGCUGUAUCUAGGACAUCUUAAAUGAGAAAUCCCUGCUUGAUGUGUUUUUUUUUUCCAAAGAUGAAUGCAGCAGCAGUUUGUAACUCCAGGAGCUCAAAUAUAACAGUGGUAAUUUAUCAGCUGACAGUAUUUGAAAGCAACAUGUUAAAAAUAAUCUUGACACGUGUGUCAGGAUUCAGAAGAGGCUCUCACAUGAGAGGUCCUCAGUGUCAGUGCACCCACUAGAAGAGACUGCAUUUUGUAGGUUACUGAGCCACAUGAUUACAGUUAAAUUAUUGAUGUAUGAAUUCCUGACAUUCUUAUCUCUGUGAUCACUGUGCACUUCUUGUUUUUUGAUCAUUUCUGAGGAAACGCUUACACCGGAACCAAGAACUUGUCAAAUAAGCCCGUCUUACAGUGACACUGUUUGUGCACAGCCACUCAUAUUGUGAAACAGGGUGUGGCCACGUGAGCCAUGCAGGGGUGUAAGCUGUACAGGUGGAAAAUGAGACAAGAUGGAUAAAUGAGGAGCCAGAGAGUCACAUGUUCAGAUGCAUGUUCACAUAUCAGAUGCAGGAAAGAUUGACACCUUUCUAAAUAUACAUGUCUCUGUUACUGUCAGGGGUUCUUUUCUAUAACUGAUUUCAUCAUCUUUAAAUAAGUCUAUACAAGGGUUUAAAAGUCAUCAUAGAUGCAAGCUGUUCUAUGCAAAUUAAUAUAAUCAGGCAAGCAACAGUUGAUAAGAGGGAUCAAUGGUUCUGUUAUGCUUUAUUCAUCCAACUCUUUGUUUGAGCUGCAGAAUUUUAAAUUUUGAUACUAUUAACAUGGGAAUCAAACAAUGUUGAUGCCAAUUUUGGUACCAUGGCAACAAAAAAGAAUGCCAAGGCAGACAAAAUAUGAAAUAUGUUUGGUUCUCAUUACCAAAACAUGCAGGUUAACUCUUACACUCUAGUGAAAUUGCUCAAAUACCUUGUUGAUCUAUUUAUCCAAUUUAGACAGCACUGUCUCUUUUUCACUUGCUGUAACUUUUGCUAAAAAAUAUGACAAACGAUGAAGAUCUGGAGUGUUUUUAAAGCUUCAGUACAACAAUACUAUCAAUAUCAUUUUAAAUAGGCUGCAGGGUAUCAGGCCCAUAGACAUAAUAUACAUAGACGCCUCAUUGACUGUGUUUGCCGCUGUGAUACGUCAGCGUGUCAACCAUAUUGCCAGAGGCAAGACUGUUCCAUAAACAAAUGCAAGUAUAUGAGGGAUGAAGGGUUUCUGAUCAAUAAACACACCUGUUUACAUUUAAGUGGCGGUAAUGAGUCGUUUGUAUAUAAAGUGGUAUAGAGGUCUUUUCUGGAAUAGGAACUCAACAUAACACACUUCAAGACCCUUAUUAUAUCAAUUGAUGUCAUACCAAGCAGGGGUCAAUGUUCCUGAAUGAACUGUUUCAAAAUUGCAUUAAUACACAAAAAACAUUGAGCCUUAAGGGUUUUGAAGGAUUCAGCCACUUUGACCAGUGAUGUAGCCAGACUUUUCUGACAGGGGUGGCCCAG